AUGCAUUGUGUGCUGCUGCUACUGCUGCUAUGCAUUGUGUGAUACUGUUGCUGCUGCUAUGCAUUGUGUGCUGCCGCUACUGUGCAUUGUGUGCUGCUACAACUACUGCCACUACUAUGCGUUGUGUGCUGCUACUACUAUAACGGACUGUAGUUGAUCCGUACGGAUCACCCCCCCGCCCCCACGGUUCGGCAUGCAAGUGAACCGCGGAUCAAUUGCAAAGUUUUACCACCAUAGUGUGAAAUACAGUUGUCUGCCGUUGUAACUUUUUAAAGUAAUAAUUCCCUAAAUCUUGAUGCAGAGUUGCUGUGAGAAGAUAGACAAGACCGAUGCGUGUUUUGUUUUACUCUGAAGCCUGAAAGUUGAUUUGAUUUGACUUUUACAUUUAAAAAAAAAAAGCAGUUUGUGUGUGUACUGUUCAUGUGAACGGGCCUGCAGGUAGCCUCGUGGUUAGAGCGUUGGACUUGUAACUGAAAGGUUGCAAGAUUGAAUCCCUGACAAGGUACAAUUCUGUCGUUCUGCCCCUGAACAAAGCAGUGAACCCGCUGUUCCUAGGCCGUCAUUGAAAAUAAUAAUUUGUUCUUAACUGACUUGCCUAGUUAAAUAAAGGUACAAUAAAAAAUUUUUGAAUCCCAACGAAUCAAUCCUGGAUGCUUGCGUUCCAUAAAGCAAAGAAGAAAAAAAGAGCAGUGACCAUGGCUAGCAGAGGAGGUGAAGAACUGGAAUAGCCUCCCGCUUCAUUGAAGUUUCAUGUAUGGGAGCAGUUUGCCUUCCCUGUCAAAUAUGAUGACAGAAGAAGGGUGGUGGACAACACCAUUACGGUGUGUAGUUAUUGUGCUACAAAGCUGUAUGAUCAUGGAAAUGCAUGUUCAAAGCGUCAUCACCCUGGUGUGUCAGUGACGGCAGCCAACUCAGCCAAGAGACAACUUCUCACCGCGGCAUUUAAGCGCUUUGCUGCAGAAUCAUACCGGGCUGAAGCCAUCACAAUCUAUUGGGAUGUUUAUUGCUGCAGACGUGCGGCCAUACUCUGUUGUGGAAAACAAAGGGUUUAAAAAUAUGGUGAAAGUGCUUGAGUCACGCUACAAAAUCCCCUCGCGCACCCACUUCAGUAUGAAGAUUGUGCCAGAUCGUUAUGAAAAGGGAAAUAUCAAAAUGGAGCACUGAAACUGCACCAUCUGUGUCCAUGAUCCAACCUCUGAGAACAAGGAUUCUACAAUCCAUGGCCCCAAGUGAGGAAGACAGCACCAUCACUAGAGAUGUCAAGGCUUCCAUUACCUGAACCCCAGAUACCUCCCCCCUAAUGUACAGGACUACCUUCAUAGAUCUACUGCACUGGAUCCAAGGUUCAAGUCCAGGUCUCACCUAGACCCUGCCCUAUGCUGGAGGACAUGCAGUGAUCUCACCACAAGGAUUGUGGCCACUGAAGAGGGUCAAGCCACCGAGCUGACAGGAGCAGACUCAGAGGCAUCUCCUCCACAAAAUAAUUUGGCUAUGAAGGAGCUUUUCGGGGAGACCUUUGCGAUCACGGACACAGGCAAGACAUUUGCAACACCAUCGAAGAGGAGGCAUCCUACAAGGCAGCAAGCGGCAUUCCACUGGAUGGCGAUCCACUGACAUGGUGGAAAAUCAAUGAGUGUAAAUACCCUCACAUUGUCAUGAUGGCAAGAUGCUGCCUGGCACUUCAGUUCCUAGCGAGAGGGUGUUCUCCACGGCAGGGGACAUAGUGACUGCAAAGAGGUCUACCCUCUCCCCAGACAAUGUAGACAUCCUCAUCUUUUAGAAAAAUAAUUUGAUGUUAAGCUCAGGUCUGCCCAGCUUUCUUUCUUUACUUGUUUUUGAUGAUGUGGACACAGGCUAUUUUUUUCAUUCACUGUUCAAAGGAAGAAGGUAUGAUGCCUCAUACUGCACUUUCAUUUAACAAUUGAGUAUUGAAUAUUUUAUUUUAAGAUUUCAUUUAAACAUUGAAAAGUUUAAGUGUUCUUUAAGUAAUAAAUGGAAAGCAAAGUUA